rnacentral:rRNA from 1 species
GGGUUCCUGUCCAACGUUAAUCGGGGCAGGGUGAGUCGACCCCUAAGGCGAGGCCGAAAGGCGUAGUCGAUGGGAAACAGGUUAAUAUUCCUGUACUUGGGGUUACUGCGAAGGGGGGACGGAGAAGGCUAUGUUGGCCGGGCGACGGUUGUCCCGGUUUAAGCGUGUAGGCUGGUUUUCCAGGCAAAUCCGGAAAAUCAAGGCUGAGGCGUGAUGACGAGGCACUACGGUGCUGAAGCAACAAAUGCCCUGCUUCCAGGAAAAGCCUCUAAGCAUCAGGUAACAUCAAAUCGUACCCCAAACCGACACAGGUGGUCAGGUAGAGAAUACCAAGGCGCUUGAGAGAACUCGGGUGAAGGAACUAGGCAAAAUGGUGCCGUAACUUCGGGAGAAGGCACGCUGAUAUGUAGGUGAGGUCCCUCGCGGAUGGAGCUGAAAUCAGUCGAAGAUACCAGCUGGCUGCAACUGUUUAUUAAAAACACAGCACUGUGCAAACACGAAAGUGGACGUAUACGGUGUGACGCCUCCCCGGUGCCGGAAGGUUAAUUGAUGGGGUUAGCGCAAGCGAAGCUCUUGAUCGAAGCCCCGGUAAACGGCGGCCGUAACGAUAACGGUCCUAAGGUAGCGAAAUUCCUUGUCGGGUAAGUUCCGACCUGCACGAAUGGCGUAAUGAUGGCCAGGCUGUCUCCACCCGAGACUCAGUGAAAUUGAACUCGCUGUGAAGAUGCAGUGUACCCGCGGCAAGACGGAAAGACCCCGUGAACCUUUACUAUAGCUUGACACUGAACAUUGAGCCUUGAUGUGUGGGAUAGGUGGGAGGCUUUGAAGUGUGGACGCCAGUCUGCAUGGAGCCGACCUUGAAAUACCACCCUUUAAUGUUUGAUGUUCUAACGUUGACCCGUAAUCCGGGUUGCGGACAGUGUCUGGUGGGUAGUUUGACUGGGGCGGUCUCCUCCUAAAGAGUAACGGAGGAGCACGAAGGUUGGCUAAUCCUGGUCGGACAUCAGGAGGUUAGUGCAAUGGCAUAAGCCAGCUUGACUGCGAGCGUGACGGCGCGAGCAGGUGCGAAAGCAGGUCAUAGUGAUCCGGUGGUCCUGAAUGGAAGGGCCAUCGCUCAACGGAUAAAAGGUACUCCGGGGAUAACAGGCUGAUACCGCCCAAGAGUUCAUAUCGACGGCGGUGUUUGGCACCUCGAUGUCGGCUCAUCACAUCCUGGGGCUGAAGUAGGUCCCAAGGGUAUGGCUGUUCGCCAUUUAAAGUGGUACGCGAGCUGGGUUUAGAACGUCGUGAGACAGUUCGGUCCCUAUCUGCCGUGGGCGCUGGAGAACUGAGGGGGGCUGCUCCUAGUACGAGAGGACCGGAGUGGACGCAUCACUGGUGUUCGGGUUGUCAUGCCAAUGGCACUGCCCGGUAGCUAAAUGCGGAAGAGAUAAGUGCUGAAAGCAUCUAAGCACGAAACUUGCCCCGAGAUGAGUUCUCCCUGACCCUUUAAGGGUCCUGAAGGAACGUUGAAGACGACGACGUUGAUAGGCCGGGUGUGUAAGCGCAGCGAUGCGUUGAGCUAACCGGUACUAAUGAACCGUGAGGCUUAACCUU